UACGUAGGCAGCGAGCGUUGUUCGGAGUUACUGGGCGUAAAGGGUGUGUAGGCGGUUGUUUAAGUUUGGUGUGAAAUCUCCCCGGCUCAACUGGGAGGGUGCGCCGAAUACUGAAUGACUAGAGUGUGGGAGAGGUGAGUGGAAUUCCUGGUGUAGCGGUGAAAUGCGUAGAUAUCAGGAGGAACACCGGUGGUGUAGACGGCUCACUGGACCAUAACUGACGCUGAAACACGAAAGCGUGGGUAGCAAACAGG
rnacentral:rRNA from 1 species